UUUAUCAGUCUUAUACCACAGAUUACAGUAUUGACCAAGAAUUAUUUCUGUUAGACCAGGGGGUCUAGGUCCCACAGAUAUCAACCCUAUACUAUUUGUUUUACUGCUUACAUUGCACAACAAAAUAUGUGUAGCUCGGAAGGAAAUAAGUACAUUUUCCGCAAGUAAAUAAGGUCACUAUAUUUCUCUAAAUGUUAUAAAUUGAGUCUAUUUUAAGUACAGAUCAAGUCAAGUUCUGCUACUGCUUAACGUACUAUUUCAGCUAAGAGUACAUUCAAAAGUUUGUUCACUCAUAUCAAUGACUGUUCUAGAACUAAUGUUGGAGUAUACUACUGUCAAAAUAGCUGAAUAUUUGUGGUACUGUAGUUUUUACAUGCUUAUUAUUUAAUAUACAGUAUUAGACACAAAAAUAACAAUUAUAUCUUGAAAUUAUUUUGUAUAGGAAAUAUAUUUAGAAAAAUAAUUUUGAGCCACUGUCUUAUUAAGCUUCUUGUGUACAAAGUUCAUGAAUAAGCAAUAGUUUUAUAGAGAAUGUCUAUUAUUCUUCAGAUUAAGAACAAAAUAUUUGGUGCUUUUUAGGUUAGUAAAAAUUAAAAAAAAAAACACAGGACACAAAAUAAUUGCAGGGAUUUAAACUCAUCUUUCCAUGUUGCACAAAAGCCUGUUAGCAUUCCUAAUUGUAAAGGUAUGGGACUUCAAGAACUGAAGUUAAGCUGUAACUAUUCAAAAUAUUAGCAGAUUAUCAGAUUUAUUUCUAAUAAAGUAAAUGUACCUCAAUUCUAUUAUUUGGUGAAAUAACUCUUUCUGACCUUGAAGGAACAAGGGGGGUUUUGUUGUUUUUGCACUUGUAUCAGUAUUUCUACAAGACUGACGUUCUGAAGCAAAAUUCCAUAAUAUAAAAAAAUGUGCUACUGAAAUUUUUAAAAAUAGGUAAUAGUGUUCCAAAAGGUUCUGUGCCCAUUUUUGUCUCUGCCAGUUCAUGAAUGUGUAUAUCAAUUCCCCCAUGCACUCUGCAAUAUUAUAUAUUAUGCAUCUUUUUAAGCUUAUUAAUUUCUGGUCUGAUAGGUGAGAAUUCUAUCUCAUUAUUUUAACUGACUUGCACUUCUCAGGCCCAAGAAAAAUGCAAAAAAAAAAAAAAAUUGUUCAUGUUCAUUUUUCAGUUGGCAUUUUUGACUACAGUUUUAUUUUGAUUUUAUUUUAGGGGGAGUCGUGCUGUCACCCAGGCUGGAGUACAGUGGCAUGAUCAUAAGCUCACUGCAGCCUCGAAAUCAUGGGCUCAAGUGAUCCUCUCCUUCCCUACCUUAGCCUCACACACUACUAUGCCCAGCUAAUUCUGUUAAAUUUUUUUAGAGAUGGAAUCUAUGUUGCCUAGACUGGUCUUGAACUUCUGGGCUAAAGCAAUCCUCCUGCCUUGGCCUCCCAAAGUGGUAGGAUUAUAGGUGUGAGCCACCCAAACUGGCCUUUGCCAGUAUUUUUAAAUCCAAAUAUCUAUGCAUGGUACUUACUAUGUAUACAGUGGUAUUCUAAACAUGUUUCACCUAUAAUUUCAUCUUUAUUAUCAUCACCAUGUUACACAUAAGGACCCCUGGUUAAAUAGCUUACCCAGUUACUCUGUUAAUAAACCGUAGAACCUGUAUUCCAUUCAAGCAGUCUGGUGUCCAUGUGAUUAACAUUAGGCUAUGCUGUCUCUCAAAAACUCAUCCUAAUUACCAAGGCAAGUAUUCUUAAGUCUAGGCUAUUAUUAUAUGAAAUUUGCCUAGUUCACAUACCAAAGAUAUAAAGAGGGAAUUACAGGGGUUGGCUUCAAAAUUUAGGACUUAACCUAAGCUAUUCAGAGGGACUCAGGACCAGGCUUUUUCUUGGAGUUUGCUUAUAAAUCCAAAAUCUCGGCUGGGUGUGGUAGCUCACACCUGUAAUCCCAGCACUUUGGGAGGCCGAGGUGGGCAGAUCACUUGAGGUCAGGAGUUUGAGACCAGCCUGGCCAACAUGGUGAAACCUCAUCUCUAAAAAAAUAAAAAUUGGUGGGUUGGUGGGCUAGUGGGAUGGCAGAUGAGGAAGAUGAUCCUACCUUUGAGGAAGAAAAUGAAGAAACUGGAGGAGGUGCAGAAGGUGGACAGGAUAAAAGAAACAGACUUUUUUCUAAAGAAUUUUGAUGUAUGAUGUAUGGCUUUGGGGAUGACCAGAAUCCUUAUACUGAGUCAGUAGAUAUUCUUGAAGAUCUUGUCAUACAGUUCAUCACUGAAAUGACUCACAAGGUAGAGAACAAGUUGAAGAUAUCGUCUUCUUGAUUCGAAAGGACCCAAGGAAGUUUGCCAGGGUUAAAGACUUGCUUACUAUGAAUGAAGAAUUGAAACAAGCCAGAAAAGCAUUUGAUGAAGCAAACUGUGGAUCUUGACACUUUUUGUAGUUUCUGAAAAUUACCAUCUGGGGAUAUAUAUAACAACGGUAUAUCUUCUAAAGUAAGGUUCUGAUAUCUAGCCAUGUAAAUGAAAGACGGAGAAACACAAAGUUUUCAGCCUUUCUUUAUUUAUUUUUAUUUUUUAGAUACAGGGUUUCACCAUGUUGGCCAGGCUGGUCUCGAACUCCUGAUCUCAGGUGAUCCACCCACCUCAGCCUCCCAAAGUGCUGGGAUUACAGGCGUGAGCCACUGAGCCCAGCCUCAGCCUUUAUUUUUAUGCCUUUGAUUUUAGAGUGAUAUUGGUGCGUUUAAUUACCUGCCUUUGUAUUACCAUGCUUGAAUUACUUACUGGGUUUUAAUGACCACUCAUAAGUCAAAGUACCUUGCAAACCAUGCAGUUCCUUCUGACUUUUGACUAUCUAAAG